rnacentral:rRNA from 1 species
CAUAAUCUCUAUGGAGAAAAGCNGGGGAUCGCAAGACCUUGCGCUUUUGGAGCGGCCGAUGUCUGAUUAGCUAGUUGGUGAGGUAAAGGCUUACCAAGGCUUCGAUCAGUAGCUGGUCUGAGAGGACGACCAGCCACACUGGGACUGAGACACGGCCCAGACUCCUACGGGAGGCAGCAGUGGGGAAUUUUGGACAAUGGGGGCAACCCUGAUCCAGCCAUGCCGCGUGAGUGAAGAAGGCCUUCGGGUUGUAAAGCUCUUUCAGCCGGAACGAAAAGGUUACGGUUAAUACCCGUGACUAAUGACGGUACCGGAAGAAGAAG